AGUGAACGCUGGCGGCGUGCCUAAUACAUGCAAGUCGAACGGAGUGGCGCACGGGUGAGUAAUAUAUAGCUAAUCUGCCCCUUGCUGGGGGACAACAGUGAGAAAUGACUGCUAAUACUCCAUAGCAAGGGAUGAGAAUCUAUCGUAUCAGCUAGUCGGUGGGGUAACUGCCUACCGAGGGUAUGACGCGUAACUGGUCUGAGAGGAUGAUCAGUCACAUUGGAACGGAGACACGGUGCAAACUCCUACGGGAGGCAGCAGUAGGGAAUAUUGCGCAAUGGGGGAAACCAUGACGCAGCAACGCCGCGUGGAGGAUGAUACUUUUCGGAGAAUACACUCCUUUUGUUAGUGAAGCGGUACCUAACGAAUAAGCACCGGCUAACUCCGUGCCAGCAGCCGCGGUAAUUC
rnacentral:rRNA from 1 species